CCUACGGGAGGCAGCAGUGGGGAAUAUUGCACAAUGGGGGAAACCCUGAUGCAGCGACGCCGCGUGAGUGAAGAAGUAUUUCGGUAUGUAAAGCUCUAUCAGCAGGGAAGAAAAUGACGGUACCUGAUCAAGAAGCCCCGGCUAACUACGUGCCAGCAGCCGCGGUAAUACGUAGGGGGCAAGCGUUAUCCGGAUUUACUGGGUGUAAAGGGAGCGUAGACGGCAGCACAAGUCUGGAGUGAAAUGCCGGGGCUUAACCACGGAAAUGCUUUGGAAACUGUGCAGCUAGAGUGCAGGAGAGGUAAGUGGAAUGCCUAGUGUAGCGGUGAAAUGCGUAGAUAUUAGGAGGAACACCAGUGGCGAAGGCGGCUUACUGGACUGUAACUGACGUUGAGGCUCGAAAGCGUGGGGAGCAAACAGGAUUAGAUACCCGGGUAGUC
rnacentral:rRNA from 1 species